rnacentral:sRNA from 1 species
AUGUUUGCGCCACCUACAGCCUGGGAGGGUGAGCGUCAUGGCGGCUUCUUGCUCUCUCCCGGUGACCCUGGACCUGCCCACGCUGCGUGCCAAGUUGCAGGGACUGCUGCAGUUCCUGAGGGAUGCCCUGUCCAUUUCCAAUGCACAUACCGUGGAUUUCUACACAGAAUCCGUGUGGGAGGAGCUGGUCGACUUGCCACCGGAGACAGUGGUGGCUGCGCUGAGGAAGUCAGCGUCGGAGGCGCAGGCCCGGCCCUCAGAGACGCGCCCCCUAGUGGAAGCAGAGGGGGAAGCAGGUAUGACUGAUUUUCCCAAAAUAUUUUGUGAAACUUCUCAGAAGUUGGUGAGUGUGGAAGCCUUUGCUCUGGCUGCGAAAUACUAUUCUGUACAAAACUUGGGAAUAUGUACUCCUUUUGAACAGUUGCUUAUAGCCCUUCGAGGAAAUCAAAACCAGAGAAAUGGUGAAAAUCAGAAGGCAGUUGAGUUUAUGAAUAUGAAGAAAUCUCAUGAAGUUCAGGCAAUGUCAGAGCUGAUCAGCAGCAUUGCUGACUACUAUGGAAUAAAGCAGGUGAUUGACUUGGGUUCCGGUAAAGGCUACCUAAGCUCUUUUUUGUCCUUGAAGUAUGGCUUAAAAGUUUAUGGAAUUGAUUCCUCAAAUACCAAUACUCAUGGAGCUGAGGAGAGAAACAGAAAAUUGAAGAAAUAUUGGAAACUCUGUCAUGCUCAGUCAAGAUUAGAUGUCAAUGGACUAGCAUUAAAAAUGGCAAAAGAAAGGAAAGUGCAAAAUAAAGUUAAAAAUAAAGCUGAUAUUGAGGAAGUGUUUAACAACAGUCCUACAAGUCAAGAAAAGAUGUCUACCUCAGAUAUUUUGCCUGAUUUUUCUGGCUCUGUAAUUUCUAAUAUCAGAAACCAAAUGGAAACCCUUCAUUCUCAGCCACAUCAAGAAGAAAAUUUGUGUUUUGAAAAUUCCUUUUCUCUUAUAAACCUUUUGCCUAUUAAUGCCAUAGAGCCUACUUCUUCACAGCAAAUACCCAACAGAGAAACAUCUGAAGCCAAUAAAGAGAGAAGAAAAAUGACAUCAAAGUCAAGUGAAUCAAAUAUAUAUUCACCUUUAACCUCUUUUAUCACUGCUGAUUCAGAACUCCAUGACAUUAUUAAAGAUUUGGAGGAUUGUGUGAUGGUGGGUCUCCACACUUGUGGUGAUCUGGCUCCAAAUACUUUGAGAAUAUUUACCUCCAACUCUGAAAUCAAGGGAGUUUGCAGUGUGGGUUGUUGCUACCACCUCUUAUCUGAAGAAUUUGAAAACCAGCAUAAAGAACAUACUCAGGAAAAGUGGGGAUUUCCAAUGUGCCACUAUUUAAAGGAAGAGAGAUGGUGCUGUGGUCGUAAUGCCAGAAUGUCAGCAUGUUUGGCAUUGGAGCGGGUUGCAGCUGGCCAAGGGCUGCCUACUGAAUCACUCUUCUAUCGUGCUGUUCUUCAGGAUAUUAUUAAAGAUUGUUAUGGGAUCACCAAAUGUGAUCGGCAUGUUGGUAAAAUUUAUUCCAAAUGUUCUUCUUUUCUGGAUUAUGUCAGACGGUCUCUAAAGAAGCUUGGAUUAGAUGAGUCCAAGAAGAUCACAGUGAUACUAAUCUUUGGAUAACUUCCUCUAUCAACCUGAGAAUAUCA